rnacentral:lncRNA from 1 species
CAGAGUGCCUUCUGCCAUCUCCCUGCAGAAGCUCAGUCUGUUUGUCCCCUUGGCUACCUCCAUGUCUGCACACAUGGCUGGAGGGAGCUGCCAGCACUAUCCAGCACUCACCUAUCUGCUGGGCCCUCCCUCUGAGCUGAUGAUGGCUGUCUCUGAAUCCUGCUCACUGAGUACGGGCUGUGGUCUGUGUUCUGAGGAUGGGCUGCAGAUAUCUCAGUCAGCGGUGGGCAUCUCUUGCGCUCAGGGUUGUAAAGUCCCAAAUAAGACCACAUGCAACUCAAGCGAGAUGAGUCAUUUAGUAUUACACGAUCUGGACAGAAUGGGGCUGUUGAAAAGGCAGGUCUCAGGCAUUGUCAAAUGUGGGCUUUUCUCUGGAGGCAUCUGUACAUUGGCACAGAGGAAGAAGAGUUCCUGUGUAUAAGAGCCAGGACUGACUAAUGUAGAAGAAAUUAAUUUGAAUACUCAAUAUGAGAUUAGUAGUGCUCACCAGCUGUGGUGAGGUAUCGA